UUGCGUUAACACGUGAAGCGGACCUUGCCCAAGUUGUUGGGGGAUAGCCGGCCAACGGCCGGGUAAUACCGCAUACGCUUCUAUGGGGGCAUCCCUUUGGUGGAAAAAGAAACUUCGGGGCACAUGGAGGGGCUCGCGGCUAUCACUAUAGUGGGGUAACGGUCACUAGCGACGAUCCCUACUGGUCUGAAAGGAUUGAACCAAGCCACACUUGGAACUGAGACACGGUCCAGACUCCCCCCCCCUUUUAACCGGGGAGGCAGCAGUGGGGAAUAUUGGGCCAACCAAUGGGCGCAAGCCUGAUGCAGCCAUGCCGCGUGUAUGAAGAAGGCCUUCGGGUUGUAAAGUACUUUCAGCGGGGAGGAAGGUGUUGUGGCUAAUAACCACAGCAAUUGACGUUACCCGCAAAAAGCACCGGUAACUCCGUGCCAGCAGCGCGGUAAUACGAGGUGCAAGCGUUAAUCGGGAAUUACUGGGGCGUAAAAGCCGCACGGCAAGGCGGUCUGUCCAAAGUCGGAUGUGAAAUCCCCGGGCUCAACCUGGGGAACUGCAUUUCGAAAACUGGGCAGGNUUAAGUCCUUGUAAGGGGGGUAAAUUCCC
rnacentral:rRNA from 1 species